GGUUCCAUAGCUCAACCGGAUAGAGCAACGGUUUUCUAAACCGUAGGUUCCAGGUUCGAGUCCUGGUGGGAUCA
rnacentral:tRNA from 2 species